rnacentral:misc_RNA from 1 species
CAAAGGUUCUCCAUGCAUUUGAUUCAAGAAUCUCCUUUGUACAUCACAGAACAGUUGGAGCCGAUAAACUCCAGGUUUGUUUAGAAGAUACAGAAUGGUCGUACCCUGUUCAAAUUACAAAAGAGGACACCUUCUUUCUUGUUUUGAGGAGAUCAAAUGGUACACGAAAAAUUUUGAGGACGGAAGUACGGGGAUAUGAAGAAGGAUCACGCUUUAUAGUUGU